rnacentral:rRNA from 1 species
CCUACGGGCGGCAGCAGUGGGGAAUAUUGCACAAUGGGGGAAACCCUGAUGCAGCGACGCCGCGUGAGUGAAGAAGGAUUUCGGGAUGUAAAGCUCUAUCAGCAGGGAAGAAAAUGACGGUACCUGAGUAAGAAGCCCCGGCUAACUACGGGCCAGCAGCCGCGGUAAUACGUAGGGGGCAAGCGUUAUCCGGAUUUACUGGGUGUACAGGGAGCGUAGACGGCAGCACAAGUCUGGAGUGAAAUGCCGGGGCUUAACCCCGGAACUGCUUUGGAAACUGUGCAGCUAGAGUGCAGGAGAGGUAAGUGGAAUUCCUAGUGUAGCGGUGAAAUGCUUAGAUAUUAGGAGGAACACCAGUGGCGAAGGCGGCUUACUGGACUGUAACUGACGUUGAGGCUCGAACGCGUGGGGAUCAAACAGGAUUAGAUACCCGAGUAGUC